GAUGAAGAACGUAGUGAAAUGCGAUACUUGGUGUGAAUUGCAGAAUCCCGUGAACCAUCGAGUCUUUGAACGCAAGUUGCGCCCGAAGCCAUUAGGCCGAGGGCACGCCUGCCUGGGCGUCACACGUCGUUGCCCCCCCAUCUACUCCUUCGGGAUUGCGGGGGGCGGAUGAUGGCCUCUCGUGCGCCUCGUCGCGCGGUUGGCCUAAAUGCCAAGUCCUCGGCGACGCACGCCACGACAAUCGGUGGUUGCGAAACCUCGGUUGCCUGUCGUGUGCGGUCGUCGCGCAUCGAGGGCUCGAAAAAAUUGCCGGGCUUCGGCUCGACUUUCAACGCGACCCCAGGUCAGGCGGGGUUACCCGCUGAAUUUAAGCAUAUCAAUAAGCGGAGGA
rnacentral:misc_RNA from 1 species